rnacentral:lncRNA from 1 species
UUUAUAGAACUCUAGCCUCUCUCAGGAGAUGUGGUGUGUUGUCAGAAAUAGAAUAUGUGGUCCUCUCGGGUGCAGGCCAAUGUUUUGUUUGUUAAAAUUCCUCCUUGGAGAGACCAUCUUCAGGAACAUGACCAUUUUCAGUGACAGACUGACGUUUUCCUAUCAGAUGUGCGAGAAUGUGAUGCCAGAAGCAGCAGUUACAGCAUAAAAAUUCAUGCUUCUAACUUCUUGGUUUCCAAAUUUGAAGAACAUCAGCAGCUGUCUCCCCUCCUAAUUAACGCAAAGUAUGCCAGGAUCCAACUGUCACUGUGCUUCCAAUCAACUAAAUGCCUUUGAGAGAUGCUCAGUUCAUUUCUUCAGCCCAGACCACUGAAGGGAGAAAGAUUGCCUGAUCUGCUGAAAUCCCUUCGAGAUCGUUUUGAGUUAGUGAAUAUCAGCCAAUUUUAGAGUUUUCCAGUUCUGUGUCACUGUCCUGUUUUGCUGUGAAUUACAUCUUCAAGCCUUACAUGAGUGGCAUGACAUUCUCUUCUCUGAGCUUGAACAUUUCUCCCUCCCCGCCUAUGCCUUGUGUGCCAUCCCUCUGUGGGUUGCUAACAAGGUUCCUGCCUCAAAAUCACAGAAUUUCAGAACACAGGUCAACUUCUCAUUUAGUCGGGUGGGGAAACCAAGGCCAGAUAGUGUGCCGAGCUUUUGGAACCAUCCAAGAGUGAAACGCUGCCUUGUCCGGCGGCUUUCUCAGAGGCCACGUUCAUUAGAAAAGCAAAGCUGCACACAGAGGAUCCCUGGAGAGGGUUUCGAGCUUACUGGUCGGUUGCAUGUGUUGGCAGCGGUGAACCUGGACAAGGCAAGAAGUCAGGAGCAGGAGCUGAGACUCCUUGUGCUUACAAAGUCGCUGAGUACCGUAUCUGCCGUUCUUCCUCUGCAUGUCCCCUUUGGCUGCCCACAUCACUGCUCCUAGCGAACAUGAGGCAUUGUUCACCAGGGUGAGGACGAACCCAGGCCACGGCAUUCAAUGCCCGUUGGCUUUAAUUGCAGAGACAGGAGGAGAAAGAAACCAAGCGAUAUCCGCAUGCUGCCAAAGCGAAAGGCCAGCACGUCAAGUGCUCACUGUGCCUUGUUACUGCUGCUGCGUGACUGGACAUGACCACAGUGCUGCUGACGGUGGCCACAGCGCCUCGCACCUUGGAGCUUCACCGCUCAGCCCACCGCCAGGGGCUGGGGUGUGCGCUGCUGCUGCAGGCCGGGACACCACAACUGCAGCUUUCAUCUGCAGGGCAAGUCCAGCUUAUCUCUGCAAUUGCUCUGACUUCCCUAAGGCAAAAUAAACUAAGCUCUUUGACGGGGGUCCUGUAUCUUAGUACUUAUGGAGCCUCUGGUGUCUAGCAAAACUCAUAGCACAUAAUAGGUGCUCAGCAAAUAACUGCGAAUGAACAAAUGAAGGAGUCAAUUCUUUCCUCAUGAGGCACACACUGUGACCUCUGUCUCCCAUACAGCUAUUAGCAUCGAGGGCAGGAGCUGUGGAAGGAUCCACCCAAAUGGGGGAUUGGGUGUCAGAGAGCUCUUUCUCUGGGAGCUUAGGGAUCAUUGCCCUAACUGUUGUUUCAUUAGAUCUUACUCCUUGUAACUGCCUUGAGGCCAAAGAUAUGUUUUCUUUAUUUUUUUUUCUUUAUUUUUAAUUUUUUUUUGGCACUGGGAAUUGAACUCACAACCUUGCGUUUGUCAAGCAGGCACUGUGCUGCUGAGCUAUAUCCCCUGCCCCAAACAUAUGUUUUUAAAAAAGAAAUCUUUUUAUUUCCUACCUCUUGAAGACACCGUAAAUAUAAUGAGACAAUAGGAGUUUAAACUUUGCAGUUUACCAAGUCUUUAAAUUGUUUUAGGAAAUAAUUUUAGAACUACAAGAUACAAUGUGACUAGUUGAAUCUAUUUUAUUAUCUAACUGUGCAUAGUAUGUACUUUAUAAUUUUCUUUGUUCUAUAGUUUGUAGCUUGUAGUGGAUUGACAACUAGUAGUCAGCUUAUAACCCCCAGCUGAACUGAGUAUGUGUGGUGCUGGGUGUGGGAGGCCCACCUGGGGACUGCUGCCAGCAGCAUAAGAGGC